rnacentral:rRNA from 1 species
AUUGAACGCUGGCGGCAGGCCUAACACAUGCAAGUCGAGCGGAUGAAGGGAGCUUGCUCCUGGAUUCAGCGGCGGACGGGUGAGUAAUGCCUAGGAAUCUGCCUGGUAGUGGGGGAUAACGUCCGGAAACGGGCGCUAAUACCGCAUACGUCCUGAGGGAGAAAGUGGGGGAUCUUCGGACCUCACGCUAUCAGAUGAGCCUAGGUCGGAUUAGCUAGUUGGUGGGGUAAAGGCCUACCAAGGCGACGAUCCGUAACUGGUCUGAGAGGAUGAUCAGUCACACUGGAACUGAGACACGGUCCAGACUCCUACGGGAGGCAGCAGUGGGGAAUAUUGGACAAUGGGCGAAAGCCUGAUCCAGCCAUGCCGCGUGUGUGAAGAAGGUCUUCGGAUUGUAAAGCACUUUUGGUGGGGAGGAAGAGCAGUAAGUUAAUACCUUGCUGUUUUGACGGUACCAACAGAAUAAGCACCGGCUAACUUCGUG